GUGCUGCUGGCAGUUUGUUUUUAGCCAGUUUGGUCUUCCACCACUUUUAUUAAGUAUUUCUGUUUGGUACUGUGAAUUGUAAGUUAAGCGUUGCGUUCUGAGGAGACCUAGAUAGUCACAGGCCAUUUGUUUACUUGGCUUUGAUAGCAUUUGGAAGCAAACCAGAAAAACAUAGAUAAACAGGCACGCGAGAGAUCUUUAGGCUGGCAUUCACAUGUAGUAUGCCUUCCUGUCACAUUCCAGUGGGUCCCAGAAAAAUUGAAUUUUAGAGCCUGAGAGUAUUUGAGUAGUGAAUCAGCUGAUUUGGAAAUCAUGCUUUACCAGUGUAUCCUUGUGUUUUUUCUAAAUAUGCUUCAAUCCCUUAAUUAUUAUUACCUUAAUUAUUUCUUGAUAUGUGCUGAGCAGUGAAUGUUAAAAUGAGGAGCAGUGUUUUUAAGCAAGUUACUGUACAGGAUAGGGUAGAAUUUAGGAUUGAACAGUAGGAGGCUGGGAUUGUAAUACACAGUAUCCUUUGGUAAUUGAUGAACUCCUACUGAUAUAUAAAUAAUAAUACCAAAAAAUGUCACAUUUGGCUUUUAAACAAACAGAGGAAUUUGUGAAGGCAAAUUUGCCACAUGUUUUCCAGAAAUGGAAAGUGUAGCAUACAUGUGUUAGCCGCUGAAGUAUACAAAAGUCACAUGUGUGUUGUGUAGCCAAUGAGUUGUAAGCCAUUUGAAUUUCCUUAAACCAGAAGCUGACUUUUUAAAGGAUUUUCCUGUGUGAUCAAAGAAUCUGAAUGCUUGGAAUGUUUGCAUAGAUUCACUGUUCUUGUGCUAAUGAGAACAGAGCAGUGAGGUUCUGGAAGUUGUGCAGUGGUCCAGCAUGUUCAGCUUCCUUAGCAUAUGUCCUUCAAGUCUGUUCCACUCAUUGGCAUACAAGGCAUACAAAGAAAUGAUAUUCUGGAAAUUCUGGCAAACUUGGGAGAUGAGCAUGCAGCUUUAGGAAUGAGCUGGGAUGGUUGUGAACAUGCUUCAGUUUUGUUCUUGCAUUUGAUGGUCAAGAGAAGCAGGAAGAUCAGACUAAACUCACUACACCAUCCUUUUUCUUAGAUGAAGACACUGAAGUAGGGAAACAAGAACACUUGUCUUGUGGCUCAAUUGCCAUGGCUUAGAUGUUUGUGAUAUUUUGCAAUAUUGUACCUUGUAGGUGUGAAUAUUCUGGCAGCCUGUGAGAAUUUUCAGUUCUCUAAUAUCUAAUGACAAUUCUAUGUUUUCUGCAGCAGGAAAAACUUUUUAGACUAGUUGGAAAGUUUCUGUGCCAAAUACACAAGGUUUAGUUGUAUUGUACUCUCCCUCUGAUUAAAAAUUGCCAUAUCCCUUUUAUGUAAACUUUCUCUUAAUAAAUGCAGUUUUUUUCUUGGUU